rnacentral:rRNA from 1 species
AUUGAACGCUGGCGGCAGGCCUAACACAUGCAAGUCGAACGAGUGGCGGACGGGUGAGUAAUGUCUGGGAAACUGCCCGAUGGCGGGGGAUAACUACUGGAAACGGUAGCUAAUACCGCAUACUAUCGGAUGCACCCAUAUGGGAUUAGCUAGUAGGGGGGGUAACGGCUCACCUAGGCGACGAUCGCUAGCUGGUCUGAGAGGAUGACCAGCCACACUGGAACUGAUACACGGCCCAGACUCUGACGGGAGGAAGCAGUGGGGAAUAUUGCACAAUGGGGGCAAGCCUGAUGCAGCCAUGCCGCGUGUAUGAAGAAGGCCUUCGGGUUGUAAAGUACUUUCAGCGAGGAGGCGUUACCCGCAGAAGAAGCACCGGCUAACUCCGUGCCAGCAGCCGCGGUAAUUC